rnacentral:rRNA from 1 species
AACUCCGGGAAACCGGGGCUAAUACCGGAUAUGAAACUUGGUGGCAUCACCGAGUUUGGAAAGUUUUUCGGUAGAAGAUGACCUCGCGGCCUAUCAGCUUGUUGGUGAGGUAAUGGCUCACCAAGGCGACGACGGGUAGCCGGCCUGAGAGGGCGACCGGCCACACUGGGACUGAGACACGGCCCAGACUCCUACGGGAGGCAGCAGUGGGGAAUAUUGGGCAAUGGAGGAAACUCUGACCCAGCGACGCCGCGUGCGGGAUGAAGGCCUUCGGGUUGUAAACCGCUUUCAGUAGGGAAGAAGCGAAAGUGACGGUACCUACAGAAGAAGCACCGGCUAACUAUGUGCCAGCAGCCGCGGUAAUACAUAGGGUGCAAGCGUUGUCCGGAAUUAUUGGGCGUAAAGAGCUCGUAGGUGGUUCGUUACGUCGGAUGUGAAAAUCUGGGGCUCAACCCCAGACCUGCAUCCGAUACGGUCGAGCUAGAGUUUGGUAGGGGAGACUGGAAUUCCUGGUGUAGCGGUGGAAUGCGCAGAUAUCAGGAGGAACACCAAUGGCGAAGGCAGGUCUCUGGGCCAAUACUGACACUGAGGAGCGAAAGCGUGGGGAGCGAACAGGAUUAGAUACCCUGGUAGUCCACGCCGUAAACGGUGGGCGCUAGUUGUGGGAACCUUCCACGGUUUCUGCGACGCAGCUAACGCAUUAAGCGCCCCGCCUGUGGAGUACGAUCGCAAGAUUUAAACUCAAAGGAAUUGACGGGGGCCCGCACAAGC